UGAUAACAAGUUCAGAAAGUAUUAAGCCUUUUGUGCUUGCACAAAAAGGAUUAAUACCUUACUGAACGCAAAAACAUGAGGAAAUAGCAAAAUUACUUUACAGUAAUUUUGCGGUUCCGAAUGUUUUCAGGAUUGCGAAAGUUCGAUAGAACGAAGCAAUCCGUGGUUAUCA
rnacentral:sRNA from 1 species